AUUGAAAGCUGGCGGCAGGCCUAACACAUGCAAGUCGAACGAGUGGAGGACGGGUGAGAAAUGUAUGGGAAACAGCCCGAUGGCGGGGGAUAACGACUGGAAAAGGUAGCUAAUACCGCAUAUCAUCGGAUGUGCCCAGAUGGGAUUAGCUAGUAGGUGGGGUAACGGAUCACCUAGGCGACGAUCCCGAGCUGGUCUGAGAGGAUGACUAGCCACACUGGAAGUGAGACACGGUCUAGACUCCUACGGGAGGCAGCAGUGGGGAAUAUUGAACAAGGGGCGCAAGCUUGAUGCAGCCAUGCCGCGUGUAUGAAGAAGGACUUCGGGUUGUAAAGUACUUUCAGCGAGGAGGCGUUACUCGCAGAAGAAGCACCGGCUAACUCCGUGCCAGCAGCCGCGGUAAUAC
rnacentral:rRNA from 1 species